rnacentral:RNase_P_RNA from 1 species
GGAGCGGGCCGGACGGCCGCUGCGGGGCGGGCCGGUUCGGGCUCGCCCCGGGGAGGAAAGUCCGGGCUCCACAGGACACGGUGGUGGGUAACGCCCACCGUCCGCGAGGACCGGGAAAGUGCAACAGAAAGCAAACCGCCGAUGGCCUGCCUCUCCGGAGGCGGGAUCAGGUAAGGGUGAAACGGUGCGGUAAGAGCGCACCGCGGUCCUGGUGACAGGGCCGGCACGGCAAACCCCACCGGGAGCAAGACCAAGCAGGGCGGAGGCGCGGUCCGCGCCGCUCGACGUCCGGGUAGGUCGCGCGAGGCGACGGGCAACCGUCGUCCCAGAGAAAUGGCCGUUCUCGACAGAACCCGGCUUACAGGCCCGCUCCGGCU